rnacentral:rRNA from 1 species
UUAAUCGGAAUUACUGGGCGUAAAGCGUGCGCAGGCGGUUGUGCAAGACCGAUGUGAAAUCCCCGAGCUUAACUUGGGAAUUGCAUUGGNGACUGCACGGCUAGAGUGUGUCAGAGGGGGGUAGAAUUCCACGUGUAGCAGUGAAAUGCGUAGAGAUGUGGAGGAANACCGAUGGCGAAGGCAGCCCCCUGGGANAANACUGACGCUCAUGCACGAAAGCGUGGGGAGCAAACAGGAUUAGAUACCCUGGUAGUCCACGCCCUAAACGAUGUCAACUAGUUGUUGGGGAUUCUUUCCUUAGUAACGUAGCUAACGCGUGAAGUUGACCGCCUGGGGAGUACGGUCGCAAGAUUAAAACUCAAAGGAAUUGACGGGGACCCGCACAAGGGGGGGAUGAUGUGGAUUAAUUCGAUGCAACGCGAAAAACCUUACCUACCCUUGACAUCCACUGAACGAGCAGAGAUGCAUUAGGNGCCGCAAGCGAAAGUGGCACAGGUGCUGCAUGGAUGUCGUCGACGUGUGUGCAUGAU